rnacentral:rRNA from 1 species
AUUGAACGCUGGCGGCAGGCCUAACACAUGCAAGUCGAACGAGUGGCGGACGGGUGAGUAAUGUCUGGGAAACUGCCUGAUGGAGGGGGAUAACUACUGGAAAAGGUAGCUAAUACCGCAUACCAUCGGAUGUGCCACGAUGGGAUUAGCUAGUAGGUGGGGUAAAGGCUCACCUAGGCAAAGCGCCCUAGCUGGUCUGAGAGGAUGACCAGCCACACGGGAACUGAGCAACGGCCCAGACUCCUACGGGAGGCAGCAGUGGGGAAUUUUGCACAAUGGGGGAAAGCCUGAUGCAGCCAGGCCGCGUGUAGGAAGAAGGCCUUCGGGUUGUAAAGUACUUUCAGCGGGGAGGCGUUACCCGCAGAAGAAGCAACGGCUAACUCCGUGCCAGCAGCCGCGGUAAUUC